GCCUGGGUGGCUCAGUUGGUUGGGCGUCUGACUUGGGCUCAGGUCAUGAUCUCACAGUUUGUGGGUUCUAGCUCCACAUCAGGCU
rfam:Felis catus isolate Cinnamon breed Abyssinian chromosome B1, whole genome shotgun sequence.